GGAGGAAUAACAUUAGGAGAAAUAUCUAAUGUAGAUGAUGGGUUGAUGGGUGCAACAAAACACCAUGACACAUGUAUACCUAUGUAACAAACCUGCACAUUCUGCACAUGUAUCUCAGAACUUAAAAUAUAACACACACACAAAAAAAUUGCCAAUUUCAUGCUGUAAUAGCAAGCUCAGUUCAAUGGCCCAAUAAAAUAUGACAGCUGUCAAUACUCACCAGCAUUUCAAAUUUCCUUCCACUCUGUACUUGGCUGACAAAAUUAAGCACUCCUUAUACCAACACUCUUAGAAGAAACCAUUUAUCAGAGCAACAUUCAAAAUGGCAAUACACUUUAGCCAUUCUUUUCCCUUCCACCCAAUACUUGGGCCCCUGGGAUUGGGACUUAAGAGAGAUGUGGCUACCUACUCUUGAGAGUCACUUGACAUAAAAACAGUGAAGAUAGGCUGGGCACAGUGGGUCAUGCCUGUAACCCCAGCACUUUGGGAGGCCGGGGCAGAUGGAUCAUUUGAGGUCAGGAGUUUGAGACCAGCCUGGUGAACAUAGUGAAACCCUGUCUCUACUAAAAAUACAAAAAUUAGCUGGGCAUGGUGGUACGCACCUGUGAUCGCAGCUACUCGGGAGGCUGAGGCAAGAGAAUUGCUUGAGCCUGGGAGGUGGAGGUUGCAGUGAGCCAAGAUUGUAGCACUGCACUCCAGCCUGGGUGACAGAGUGAGACUGUCUCAAAAAAAAGAAAAAAAAAACAGUGAAGAUGAUCAAAUGAAUCUUCUCAAGCUAAUAUUGAAUUCGUUGCUUGUUGCUGGAACUUCAUAGUUAUUUUUCCAGAGAAGUCACCUAAAGGCAUGUCAUUGCAGGCAUCUAAGAUGAUCACAAAACUCCCAUCUCAAUAAUCACCCCCAACCCCUAGCCUGGGUUGGCCAAGGAACUUAGUGCACAGUGUUCUCAACACCAGGGAAGGGAGUGUUAGUCCCUCAGAACAUAUGCAGACAUGGAGGGUGGCUCCUCUGACUCUGGAAUCUCUCUGUUCCUCUGAUUAGUUCACAGGUAUCUGUGCAUUGAGUUUUUAACCACUCUCACAUACUUUUACUCUUCUAAGAAUUGUUUUAGAGAUCUUCCAAAUGUUCUAUACAAAUAGGCCCAGCCCCAAACCGUCUCCUGGCUCCUCCAUCCUCACCUAUCUUCUCUGCUUUCUUCUCUCUUUCACUUUCUUCCCCAGCAGCAAAGUAAACUUCUCUCUAUGCUUUAGACAGAGCAGUUUACCCAACUCCUUUAAUUGUCCUGGCACAUGCAACAUCUGGUUUUUUUAGGUCUCACUUCUAACCCCAAGCAGCUUAUCAAGAUAUUUUUUGAUAAAGAGUUCCCUCCCUAAAAUUAAAAGCUAUUAAGGUGACAAAUUGUUUGCCUGCAUUCACUACUGGGUCAGAUUCUUGAGCAGAGAAUUCUUCUGCCAUCCAGCAGAAUAGGGAAGUCUUACCCUGGCUUAAAUACUGGCAGUCUGCAAAUGAGGAAGCAGGGGAUGGAGGUGGGGGUCAGAGAGAUGUGUGUGUGAUUUGCCACAAAUAUGGAGUUAAAGGAAAUAGAGUAGAGCUCAAAGCACCAAUACCAAAUCAAUGAACUUUUGUUGGCUUGAACCAGGAUGAUGAUGGUAUUAGUGGAGCAGUAGACAGACUUAUGAAUAGAAUUGAUAAAAUUUUGGAUUGCAUCAGAUGUGAAGAAUGAAAAAGAAGGAAGACUCUAGAAUAAUUUUGUCUCUAGAUUGAACAAGCAGAUAGGUGAAAGUAACAUUUACUAAGAUAGUGGGAAAUUGGGAUAAUUUUAAGGCAAAAAUUCAAUAUGUAAGUUUUGGGCACAUCAUGUUCGAGAUGUCCAACAUGUGUUCAUCCCCACAAUAUAUAAUACAUAAUGAUAUACAUCCAAGUUAUACCAAGAUAUCAAGUAAGCAGUUGAAACCAAAAACAGGCUGGGCAUGGUGGCUCACGCCUGUAAUCCCUGCACUUUGGGAGGCUGAGGCGGGUAGCUCACCUGAGGUCAGGAGUUUGAGACUAGCCUGGGCAACAUGGUGAAACCCCGUCUCUACUAAAAAUACAAAAAUUAGCUGGGCAUGAUGGCAGGCACCUGUAAUCUCAGCUACUGGGGAAGCUGAGGAAGGAGAAUCGCUUGAAUCCAGGAGGCGGAGGUUGCAGUCAGCUGAGAUGGCGCCACUACACUCCAGCCUGGGUAACAAGAGUGAAACUAAGUCAAAAAAGAAAGAAAGAAAAGAAAAGAAAAAGGAAAAGAAAGGAAAGGAAAGGAAAGGAAAGGAAAGGAAAGGAAAGGAAAGGAAAGGAAAGGAAAGGAAAGGAAAGGAAAGGAAGGCAGGGCAGGGCAGGGCAGGGCAAGGCAGGGCAAGGCAAGGCAAGGCAAGGCAGAAAGAAAAGAAAAGAAAAAAGAAAAGAAAAGUAAAAAGAAAAGAAAAGAGACUAAAAACAGCCAGUAGCUAAAAGGGGACAUCUGACCUGAAGACAUAGAUUUGGGUUUCUCAGAAUAUAAAUAGGAUUCGUAGCAAAGGGAACAGGAAAAAUCACCUAAGGAGUAAGUGAGAUAGAGAAGAGCACCAAAGGUUGAGGUCUGGGGUACUCCUCAAUUAGAGGCUUAGAAAAGGAUUCAGCAAAGGAGACCAAAAACCAGGUACUAAAAAGAUAGGAGUAAAGUCAAGAAUAGUCAACUAUUACAUGUCACACACCACCAUAAACUUAGUGGCCUUAAACAAUAGCUAUUUUAUUAUAAGCAUGGAGUCUGUAGGUCAGGAAUUCAGAAAGAGCCCAGCUAAACUGGCUUAUCUGCACACUAUCUGGGCCUCUGCUGGAAAGACUUCAAGACUAGGGUAACGAGAUGUCUAAGCGCUGGCUAGUUGGAAUCAUCUGAAGUUCAUCCUCUAACAUGUCCCAUGCCUGGGCUGAGAGGACUCAAAGACAAGACUUGAUGACAAAACAUCUGUAUGUGUCCCCUCCAUGGGGCUCAGCUUCCUCACAGCCUACAGCCCUCAGUUAGUUUGUUUUCUUAAUGGAAUAUUAGGACUCUACACCAAAUGUCUCAACUAACAAGACAGAAGCUGUAUUGCCUUUUGUGACCUAGCAUGAAAAGUCAGGCAGCAUCACUUCUAAUAUAUUCUGUUAUAGGCAAGUUCUAAGUGUACUCAGAUUCAAGAAGAAAAGAUCUAGAUUCUACCACUCACAGGGAAGUGGCAAAAUUGUAGGAGAGCAUGUGGUAGGGGUCAUACCAUUGUAGCCAUUUUUGAAAAAUGUAAUCUUCCCCCAUCAACUAUGUUAAAUGCUAUUGAGAGGUCAAUUGAGAUGUAGACUUUUAAAUGUCCAAAUGAUUUUACAACAUGAGGUGGAUGAUGACAUUAUGAGUCUUCACUAACUUCCUAAAUAAAAUCAAUUUUAUCUUCCUUGUCCCUUAUUUAAUCACCUAUCGUAAUGCAAUGCAAGUAUCUUUAGAUAGCUAUAUUUCUCCUAAACUAGAAGCUACUAGUGGGUAGGAAAUAGGUAAUUUAGUAGUAUUAAUAUUUUUACUUUUAGGACCCAACACAGUGCCUGACACAUAGGAGAAGCUCAAGAGACAUUUGCCAAAUAGAUGAUUCUGUACAUUUCUUACCUGACUGCCAGUCCCAUCAUUCCAACUACUUAUAAGACAACUCUGGCAGGACUUUCAGCCAUCGCCUUAGACUCAAACAACUUAAAACUCAUGUUAUUCAUUCCAUGCUGAACUGGUUAAUAUUAGGUUUGUCUGCAUAUAGCAGGGGAAAAAAUCAACAAACAACAAAACAAUGUCAAUUCUCCAUUAUAUAAAUAACUCCAAAGGUGGUGUGGUGAUUUUACAGUGACUUCAGGGAACCAGGCUCCUAUUUUUCUCUUCUACUAUCCUUAGCACUUAGCUUCUACCCUAAAAGUCACCUUAUGGCCCAAGAUGGAUGGACACAUGCUGGAUUAGCAGCAGGAGGAGAAAGGAGUGAAAUUCCUUUAAAUGACCUUUCCUGAUGCACCACAGAGCUUUUCCAUUUACAAUGUUUUGGCCCAGAUUUAACCAAUGGCCACUCCUAGCUACAAAGAAGGAUGAGAUAUAUUUUUAUUCCAGAUAAAUAAAAAAGUGCCCACCUAAAACUUGGGGUUCUGUUACUAGGUACAAAAAAUAAAACAGAAAUAGUCCUGUGUCUUUUGAUUUCUUAUCCAGCAUUUUUAUUUCUAUUUAAAAUGUCAAAAAUUUCAUUAUUUGACUGCACUUAAUCUUUAUUUGCAUUUAAAAAACACAACUCUGGUAGCUGGAAGAAGAAUGAAUUGGAAGUGGAACACACUGGGGGCACAGAGACCAAUAAGUUACAAGGGAACUACAGAAAUCCAAGAGAGAGAAGAUAAAGCCCUAAACCAAGCUAGUAAUAGUAGAGAUAAAAAGGAGAGGAUAUGGAGGAGCAUACAAGGAACAAAAAUUUAUAUGAGACUUCUGAAAGCCUAAGUUUUAAAAUCACACUGAAGAAAGAACAUAUGAUGUCCAAUAGGGUAGCCCUACCAACAUAAAACACUGUGGACCUUGCAGGAAGCCAAUUAAUAAAAUGGAGUAUUCAGUGAUAACUAGGAAAAGAAACUUUUGAAAACAUCUUGGAAUUUACUAAAAAGCCCUGAAAAAUAAUUGGAUGUACUCCUCAUUUACUUGCACCAAAUUUGCUCUGUUAACAAAGCUAAUUGCUCAGGAUGGAUUAUAGCAGCCUGAAUUAGGUGUGUGUGACAUGGUAUUUGUGUAUUAGUGUACGAUGAUGUACAUGUGUAAAACGUUGGUUGAACAAUAUGUAUCCAAUGACACUGUGACCACACCUCCCUCUAAGAUUUUGCAUAAAUAAAAAUUACAUUAGUUUUUGUUAUUGUAUCUGAUGCAACAAAAUACAUGGAAGUUAGGGGAGUAGAAAGAUCAGAAUGAAGGAGCAAUAUAAGGUCUUCUGCCUUUCUUCAUGGCCAACUUCUCAACUUUAAAAAGAAUCCACUCGGUGUAGGAGAUUGAAAAAUGCUUGGCAAUAUGAGCUUUUUAUUUUAUGGUAACAGAAGGUCCUUUAAAUUAAGAGAAUCCAUUUCAUGUUUAAAUAUAAUAAAGCAAGAUAUUACCAAUAUCUUGCUCCAAUUCAAUUGACAGCAUCAGGGCUCAUUGCAGUAUCUAACUAAAGGUUCACCCUUGCCACUGUUUCCAAAUGAAUUCAUUCAUUCACUUACUCAUCCUGCAAAUAUUUAUUUGGGGUCUACUAUGUGCCUAGCACUAUGUGAAGAACUAAAAAUACAGUAGUGCUUUAACUAGACAUUUCCUCUUGGCACACAUUUGAUUUACAUUUCCAGCCUCCCCUGCAGUUAGUGGGGCUAUCAGAUCAGUUUCUGAUGUAUGAAAUGUCAUACAUAAACUUCUUUCACAAUAUUCAAUGCCCUUCCUUUUUCUCUGUCCAUGAGCUGACUGGAGAAGUUUCAAAGGAUCUGGGGACAAGGAGUGAAGAAAGGAGCAAAAGGAAGAAGACCAGAAUCUGAGACAAGGAAUUGUCCCAUGUGCUCGAAGUCUUUGAAGAGCAAAAAUCAAGGAGAGUAAGAAUGGAAGCCACUCAACUACUGCUUCAGAACAAAGUUAGCACGGGCUCCUGAGAAAUGACUAGAAGAUAUGCCUGGGAUUCAAAGGACCUCAGAGCCACCCAUAGCUAAUGUCCCUGUCAUCCAACAGAUGCUGUGGCUUUGGGAAAGAACAGCCUUUCUUGACCUCAAAUCUUUGUGUCUGAAAAAUGAGAGGGGUACCAGAUGCUACCUAAGCAGUCUUCCUACCUAAAAUGUAUGAGUAUAAGAAGAAUGAUCAAUUUUAAUCUCAAAAUACAAUUCUCACCUUUCAGUUACCAAGAUACAGCCCCCUUCCCUUAACCUGAGCUACAACAAAACAUAAGUUCAAUAGAGAAUUGAUUAAUGAGUAUAAAAAGGCAGCCCUGUGUUCUUGUGCUCAGAAUUGGUUGGCUCUGUUCAAUUCAAUGAGCAAGAAGACUGAAUCCUGUACUGUGUUUCAUUAGCAAGUACAAUAGCCCAGUUUUGAUAAAGUGACUCAAAUCACCUGAUCUCUUUUUAUUCCCCAUGUAUUAGCCAAACAUUAUUAUGAAGUAUGCUGUUGCCAGGCUACUAUUUAGAAUGUAUGUUAUAAGACAUGUCUGUAGGACUUUUGAAAUCAUCUUUCAGUUUUAUUCCCAGUAGUCACUUUCUAAGAAUUAAUUUCUCUUUUAUUAUGUGGUAAUAUUAAAGAGACAGUGUGUACAGUGUGUGUACAUAUGACUCACAGCAAAUUAAGAGUAUUGUGCCUUACUCUAUCCAGAGAAUCUCCCUGCCAAUGGUUGCUGCUCCCACCUUUUUCUCUGAGCCACAUCCUUGGCAUCUCACAGCUAGAUUACUGCAAUAGUUCCCCAACAGUCAGCCUGCCUCUCACAUUCUGAUAUGUCCUGGACUUCUUUGAUCAAUCCUGUUAAACCCCUAUGCCAGAGGGAACCCCUGCAUUAGUUUUUCUCAUGCAUUGAUUUUGCUUUCAUUAGUAUGCUUACCUAAGAUAUGGUCUUUACAAAAUAUUUGAAGAUGAUGAUGGUGCAAGGAGAUGAUGAGAAUUACCUUUGAUUUUGGGUGGACUGCUGCUGCUUCCAUCCUAAAAUGUGCCUACAUUGUUCUUUAUCUUACCAUAGGAUCUCUAAUCAUUCUCCCUGUAACUAACUGGAAAUAUGUGAUAACAAUUAGAGUCCCUGUAAUCUCAGCACUUUAGGAGGAUGAGGCGGGCGGAUUGCUUGAGCCCAGGAGUUUGAGACCAGCCUGGGCAACAUGGCAAAACCCAGCCACUACCAACAAAAAUACAAAAAUUAGCCAGGCGUGGUGGUGCACACCUGUAGUCCCAGCUACUUGGGAGACUGAGGUGGGAGGAUAGCUUGAGCCCAGGAGAUGGAGGUUGCAGUGAGCCGAGAUCAUGACACUGCACUCCAGCCUGGGUAAUAGAACCAGACUGUUAAAAAA
rnacentral:lncRNA from 1 species